AUUGAACGCUAGCGGGAUGCCUUACACAUGCAAGUCGAACGGAGUGGCGAACGGGUGAGUAAUGUAUCGGAACGUGCCCAGUAGCGGGGGAUAACUACGCGAAAGCGUAGCUAAUAACGCAUACUAUUGGAGCGGCCGAUAACGGUUUAGCUAGGUGGUGGGGUAACGGCUCACCAGGGGGACGAUCCGUAGCGGGUAGGAGAGGACGACCAGCAACCAGGGAACUGGGACACGGCCCAGACUCCUACGGGAGGCAGCAGUGGGGACUUUUGGACAAUGGGGGAAACCCUGAUCCGGCCAGCCCGCGUGGGCGAUGAGGGCCUUCGGGUUGUAAAGCACUUUUGUCAGGAAAGCGGUACCUGCAGAAUAAGCACCGGCUAACUACGUGCCAGCCGCCGCGGUAAUAC
rnacentral:rRNA from 1 species